rnacentral:rRNA from 1 species
UUUGCCGAUGGUGUAGGUUCCUUCCGUCGUCCGCGCGUUUAAUGGGUUAGGACUGUGCCCCUCCAUCACUGUUAUUUAUUGUUAUGGCCCGAGAAGCUCAGACCAUUAACCUUACUCAUGUUAGAUUUAGGGAAUUGCUCCUAGUUAACCUCCCGUUCAGACCACGGUCGUCGGCGCCAUUAAGGUCGAGGUUAUCGCAUAUAAAUUCAACAACGUCAAUUUUUCGAGCAUCAACCUGGAACCCAACCCAGCUAGCCAGGCGGGGGCCCACUCGUGGCCAGCCGAGCAGGGAAGACGGCCGCUACGCGAGGACCGGAAUUGACCGGCCCAGCACGGAGGCCGCGACAAUGAAACUUCUUUAAUCUCACGAGUUUCGUUCGGAUGCGAGACAUAUGUAAUCGUACCCUAUUGCAGUAUCCUAAUGCU